rnacentral:ncRNA from 1 species
UGUCCGUGGUAGGAGAGCGUUCUAAGGGCUGCGAAGCUAGACCGUAAGGACUGGUGGAGCGCUUAGAAGUGAGAAUGCCGGUAUGAGUAGCGAAAGAAGGGUGAGAAUCCCUUCCACCGAAUGCCUAAGGUUUCCUGAGGAAGGCUCGUCCGCUCAGGGUUAGUCGGGACCUAAGCCGAGGCCGAAAGGCGUAGGCGAUGGACAACAGGUUGAUAUUCCUGUACCACCUCUUCACCGUUUGAACGAUGGGGGGACGCAGGAGGAUAGGGUAAGCGCACUGCUGGAAUAGUGCGUCCAAGCAGUUAGAGGGGUGACGAGGCAAAUCCCGUCACCAUGUACCUUGAGCUGUGAUGGCGAGGGAAAUUUAGUACCGAAGUUCCUGAUUCCACACUGCCUAGAAAAUCCUCUAGUGAGGUGAAAGGUGCCCGUACCGCAAACCGACACAGGUAGGCGAGGAGAGAAUCCUAAGGUGAGCGAGAGAACUCUCGUUAAGGAACUCGGCAAAAUGACCCCGUAACUUCGGGAGAAGGGGUGCUCUGUUAGGGUGCAAGCCCGAGAGAGCCGCAGUGAAUAGGCCCAGGCGACUGUUUAGCAAAAACACAGGUCUCUGCGAAGCCGUAAGGCGAAGUAUAGGGGCUGACGCCUGCCCGGUGCUGGAAGGUUAAGAGGAGAGGUUAGUCGCAAGACGAAGCUUUGAAUUGAAGCCCCAGUAAACGGCGGCCGUAACUAUAACGGUCCUAAGGUAGCGAAAUUCCUUGUCAGGUAAGUUCUGACCCGCACGAAAGGCGCAACGAUCUGGGCACUGUCUCAACGAGAGACUCGGUGAAAUUAUAGUACCUGUGAAGAUGCAGGUUACCCGCGACAGGACGGAAAGACCCCGUGGAGCUUUACUGCAGCUUGAUAUUGAAUUUUGGUACAGCUUGUACAGGAUAGGUAGGAGCCUUUGAAACCGGAGCGCCAGCUUCGGUGGAGGCAUCGGUGGGAUACUACCCUGGCUGUAUUGAAAUUCUAACCCGCACCCCUGAAUCGGGGUGGGAGACAGUGUCAGGCAGGCAGUUUGACUGGGGCGGUCGCCUCCUAAAAGG